CUGUUACUUCCCCUACUCUCAGUUGCUCUCCUCUUCUGAUCCAGAGCUAGGGUUCAUCGAGUUUUCCUCUCCUUUGUGUCCCCCCUCUCAUUUUCUCGUCAGAUCUGCUCUACUUUUAUGGUUAUUCAGAUGUUAGUUUUGUACCUUUUGUUGUUCUAUAUGCAGGAUUUGCUCUCGGGGAUUUCUUGGGUUAGGGAUCUUUGUGCUCCAUCUGCUUGUUUGGGCAUGGUUUGCCCUAUCUGCCAUAAUCCGGAUGGACCCUGUGAGCCAGGUGAUCUAGUUCUCCAGGAGUUUAGGCACAUGUACAUUCCCUGCAAUUUUAGAGCUUUUGUAGCUUAUUACAUUGAUGAGCAGAGGGAUGCUGCUACGAUGUUACAGUACAAGAAGGUUGAGCCUGCUCUUCUUACUUAUGAAGGAAGGUCUUACCUUGCUUUGUUUAAGCAUUGACCCAAUUUUACCAAGUUUUAUGGCAAUGCUUGGUUUGAGUUAACUCAUGACUAUGGUCUUCAUGCUGGAGAACGGAUAGUGUUCUCUCUGGACCAUAUGACCUUUGAUCUGAAAGUGGACACUUAUCAGGGUGCAGAAAGGCUGCUUCCUAUUCUUUGUGUUGUAUGUUGGCUCUGCUGUCUUCUCUCGGCAAAUAGAGUUUAACUAUCAUGAGGCUCGCUUCUUUCUUCGGUGUCUCUUUCAAGACAAUUUCCUACGUUGCCGCCCAUUUGUGCAUCUCAUUACUGUCACCAACAUCAACAAGCAUAUCAUGAAAUUCCCCAAGGCUGUUGUUUGAAGAUUGAAGACAUUUGUUGAUGUGCCUAUGAAUGCGUUUGUCACUCUAGAAGCUAUGGAUGAGGGUGUGCAUGUAAUCACUCCUUCGUCAUUUUCUAUUUGCAAGCAAGAUGGGAGGAUGGGGAUUUAGAAGAACACUUUCAACGAGUUCUUCUCAGCCGCUUCUCUUAUUGAAGGCAAUGUUGUUCUCAUCACAUUCAAAGAACCCAUUUACAGACCGGUGUCCAUUGUGUUGCAACAGAUCAUCUAUGUGCAAAUGCUAUGCUUCUGACCUUGAUGCAAGUGAUAGUGGUAGGAAUGACUGUUGGUGGUUCCGAGCUUGAUCUUUUGGGGGCAAACUAUGUUAGUUAUAUGCAAUUAUGUAUGGUCUUCCUUUGGAAUUAUGUUCAGAUGCUUAGUUAUGUAUGAACUAGCAGGGUGACACGCACAUUUGCGCGACUA